rnacentral:rRNA from 1 species
GACGAACCGUCCUAACGUUGUUCGGAAUCACUGGGCUUAAAGGGCGCGUAGGCGGCUUGCCAAGUCAGGGGUGAAAUCCUGCAGCUUAACUGUAGAAGGGCCUUUGAUACUGGCGAGCUCGAGGGAGGUAGGGGUAUGUGGAACUUCCGGUGGAGCGGUGAAAUGCGUUGAUAUCGUGAGGAACACCAGAGGCGAAGGCGGCUACCUGGACAAUUGCUGACGCUCAGGCACGAAAGCGUGGGGAGCAAACGGG